rnacentral:rRNA from 1 species
GGUCCUUUCGGGGAUAGUGGCGGACGGGUGAGUAACGCGUGAGAAUCUGCCUUUAGGACGGGGACAACAGUUGGAAACGGCUGCUAAAACCCGAUGUGCCCUUCGGGGUGAAAUAUUUAUAGCCUGAAGAUGAGCUCGCGUCUGAUUAGCUAGUAGGUGAGGUAAAGGCUCACCUAGGCGACGAUCAGUAACUGGUCUGAGAGGAUGACCAGUCACACUGGAACUGAGACACGGUCCAGACUCCUACGGGAGGCA